AAACACAACUCUCAGCAACGGAUAUCUUGGCUCUUGCAACGAUGAAGAACGCAGCGAAAUGCGAUAUUUAAUGUGAAUUGCAGAAUUCCGCGAAUCAUCGAGUCUUUGAACGCAAGUUGCGCCCGAGGCUUGUCCGAGGGCAUUUCCGCUAGAGCGUCA
rnacentral:rRNA from 2 species